rnacentral:rRNA from 1 species
CUGAAUAACUUCGCAGAUCGCUUCGGUCCUGUACCGGCGACUUAUCUUUCAAGUGUCUGCCUUAUCAACUUUCGAUGGUAGUUUAUGUGCCUACCAUGGUUGUAACGGGUAACGGAGAAUUAGGGUUCGACUCCGGAGAGGGAGCCUGAGAAACGGCUACCACUUCUAAGGAAGGCAGCAGGCGCGCAAAUUACCCACUUUCGGCACGAAGAGGUAGUGACGAAAAAUAACGAGAUGGUCUCAAUUGAGUACCGUCAUCGGAAUGAGAACAAUCUAAAUCCUUUAACGAGGACCUAGUGGAGGGCAAGUCUGGUGCCAGCAGCCGCGGUAAUUCCAGCUCCGCCAGUGUAUAUCUAUGCUGCUGCGGUUAAAAAG